rnacentral:rRNA from 1 species
UCAAGUUACUAAGGGUAUAGGGUGGAUGCCUUGGCGAAAGCCGGCGAUGAAGGACGUGGUUAGCUGCGAUAAGCCUCGGGGAGUUGCUAAACAAACUUUGAUCCGGGGAUUUCCGAAUGGGGCAACCCGAUUCUGUGAAAGCGGAAUCACCCGCCAUUGUUUCAGUGGCGGGAGCAAACGGAGGGAAUUGAAACAUCUUAGUACCUCCAGGAAAAGAAAGAAAUCUCGAUUCCGAAAGUAGCGGCGAGCGAAAUCGGAUCAGCCUAAACCCUUCGACUCACAGUUUGCUUUGCAAACUACUCGCUCAGGGCAAGCCCUUAAUGAUAGGGCCUGCCCUGAGCGAGUAUGAGCGGAGCGAAGUGCGAGUCGAAGGGGGUUGCGGGACCGUAACGUGGGACCUUAGAGGAUAAUUGAACGGCAUGGAAAGGCCGGCCAUAGAAGGUGAUAGCCCUGUAAGUGAAAUCCAAAAAGGCCCUAGCGGUAUCCCAAGUACCACGGGACACGUGAAAUCCUGUGGGAAUCCGGAAGGACCAUCUUCCAAGGCUAAAUACGUGCUUUCGACCGAUAGUGAACUAGUACCGUGAGGGAAAGGUGAAAAGAACCCGGAAACGGGAGUGAAAAGAAUCUGAAACCCUAUAUCUACAAGCAAUGGAAGCUCUAUGAUCCCGACUUGUCGGGAUAAUGAGCGACCGUGUGCCUUUUGCAUAAUGAGCCAGUGAGUUAUUGUGUGCAGCAAGGUUAAGCCGUUAGGUGUAGCCGUAGCGAAAGCGAGUCUGAAAUGGGCGUUUUAGUUGCACAUAAUAGACCCGAAACCUAGUGAUCUACCCUUGGUCAGGAUGAAGUGCCGGUAACACGGCAUGGAGGUCCGAACUCGUAACCGUUGAAAAGGUUUGGGAUGAACUGAGGGUAGGGGUGAAAGGCUAAUCAAACUGGGAGAUAGCUGGUUCUCCCCGAAAUAUAUUGAGGUAUAGCCUCGUAAAAUAAGUAACGGAGGUAGAGCACUUGAUGGGCUAGGGGAGUGAAAACUUUACCAAACCCAACAAAACUCCGAAUUCCGUUAUCUUUUAUUACGGGAGUCAGACAGUGGGGGAUAAACUUCAUUGUCAAAAGGGAAAGAGCCCAGACCGCCAGCUAAGGCCCCCAAAUCGAUGCUAAGUGGGAAAGGAUGUGGAAGCGCAAAUACAGCCAGGAGGUUGGCUUAGAAGCAGCCAUCCUUUAAAGAAAGCGUAACAGCUCACUGGUCGAGUGAGUCCGCGCUGAAAAUGUAACGGGGCUAAAGUAUCGUGCCGAAGCUGCGGAUGUCCGCCAUUGUUUCAGUGGCGGACGUGGUAGGGGAGUAUUCCAAUCGCCUGUGAAGGUGCACCGAGAGGAGCGCUGGAGGUUUUGGAAGGGCUUCUGCUGGCAUAAGUAGCGAAAAUGCCAAUGAGAAAUUGGCACGCCGUAAGUCUAAGGUUUCCUGGGGAAGGUUAAUCCGCCCAGGGUUAGUCGGUACCUAAGUCGAGGCCCAAAGGCGUAGACGAUGGAAAACAGGUUAAUAUUCCUGUACCGCCUUCAUUGUGUUCGAUGCUAAGGAGUGACGGAGAAGGGUAGGUCAGACGCCGAUUGGAUGUGGCGUUUUAAGCCUGUAGGAUGACCCGGCAGGCAAAUCCACCGGGUUAUAUCUGAGAGGUGAAUACGAAGUCCCGCUUGCGGGACGCCAAGUGACUGAUCCCAUGCUUCCAAGAAAAACUUCGUAGCUAAUGAUGAAGGUGGCCGUACCGCAAACGGACACACGUAGACGGGGAGAGUAUCCCAAGGCGCUUGAGAGAACUCUGGUUAAGGAACUCUGCAAAUUCACACCGUAACUUCGGAAGAAGGUGUGCCUCAUUCUGUCAGGAGGUAAGCCCUCUGAAGCAAGAUGAGGUCGCAGUGAAAAGAGAGCAGCGACUGUUUAACAAAAACACAGGACUCUGCAAAGUCGUGAAGACGACGUAUAGGGUCUGACGCCUGCCCGGUGCUGGAAGGUUAAGGGGAGAAGUCAUCCGCAAGGAGAAGCUUCGAACCGAAGCCCCAGUAAACGGCGGCCGUAACUAUAACGGUCCUAAGGUUAACUAACGCUAGCCUUAGUAAAACUGAACCAUAUGCGGGAAACUCCUCAUACAGCUCAUUCGUACUCGUUCUCUUCAUGAGAGCAGUAAAAAACGAUGAGACAAGGGGACAAUCCGCAGGGAAGGCCUGGUUUGUACCAGGAACCCUCAGAGACUUUACGUUCAGGAUUUACCAAUGAAACUUGAAGCAGAAUGGGUAACAGGUUUUGUGGACGGUGAAGGUUGUUUUCAUGUGGGGAUUAAUCCUCAUGCUGAAAUGACCGUAGGUUUUCAGGUUUUGCCUGAAUUUACCGUUGUACAACACAAACGCGAUAUUCAGUUACUGUAUGCCUUGAAAAGCUAUUUCGGUUGUGGAGUGGUGAGAGUGAACCAUGGAGACCGAAUGGCUUAUCGAGUAAGAAGCAUUACAGAUUUGGCUGAGACCAUCAUUCCAUUUUUUUUCAAGCACCCUCUGAAAUCCAAGAAACGCAUUGAUUUUGAAAAAUUUCGUUGCGUUCUUAUGAUGAUGAAGAAGGGCGAUCAUUUGAAAGUUUCAGGAGUCGAAAAGAUUCGUGAAAUUGCCACUCAGAUGAAUCGAGGUAAUUCAAGAUAAAGUCCGGCUUUAUUGGAAACAAUAAAGGGAAUCCGAGCGAAAUUCCUUGUCGGGUAAGUUCCGACCUGCACGAAUGGCGUAACGACUGCUCUGCUGUCUUGACCGGCGACUCAGCGAAAUUGUAUUGGAGGCGCAGAUGCCUUCUACCCGCGGAAAGACGGAAAGACCCUGUGCACCUUUACUAUAACUUGGCAGUGAACUUCGGGCCAGUCUGUGUAGGAUAGGUGGGAGACUUUGAAUCUGUGGCGCUAGCCAUAGUGGAGUCAACCUUGAAAUACCACCCUGAUUAUUCUGGAGUUCUAACUUAGGUGAGUGAAUCCUCACCAAGGACACUGUCUGGUGGGUAGUUUGACUGG